GCUUUCUUGAUCUGAAGAAGAUAUAUUCUACCAUCGACUAUCUGUACUGCAGAUUCGCAACAAAAGAGACUAUCUGCAUUGCAUACAUGGCCGCAUACAUGAAGCCCCUCCAGGCACCAGUCCUUCUGCUUCUUCUCGUAUGCCUUGCUAUUCAUUCACAAUGUGGAAGGACGGAAGACAUGGACAACGUGAGGAUAAGCCUGCCGCACGGAUUAUGUGCGUACAAACCUUGCAAAGAUGGCUACUGCAACUGUUGUUACCUGACGGAGGACUGCUUUCUCACAAUGGAUGACUGCAAAAAGAAAUGCAAUGGUCCUCGUUCGCGCAUCACGGCGGGGGUGCCGACCCCCUCCAUUUCCGCCCGCACAUCAGAUUGAAAUAUUUUUAUUUGCGACAACAUCUGUUGAUGAAGAAUCUCUAUCUCUCUACCUAAUCUUUCCCUAAUAAUAAAGCACAGACUGUUUCUGGUCGUCCGUCA